rnacentral:rRNA from 1 species
CACCGGCGGCUUGAGUGGUGGCCACUUUUAUUGGGUCUAAAGCGUCCGUAGCCGGCUUGGCAAGUCCCCUGGGAAAUCUGGCGGCUUAACCGUCAGGCGUCCAGAGGAUACUGCCAGGCUUGGGACCGGGAGAGGUGAGAGGUACCUCAGGGGUAGGGGUGAAAUCUUGUGAUCCCUGAGGGACCACCAGUGGCGAAGGCGUCUCACUAGAACGGGUCCGACGGUCAGGGACGAAAGCUGGGGGCACGAACCGG